rnacentral:rRNA from 1 species
GACUAUGGCCGUGUGGCGCGUUGGAUACACCCGACCCCUCGAUCUCGGAAGUUAAGCAAUGCAACGGUCCGGUCAGUUCUUCGAUGGAAGUCCACCAACCAAGGACGACCGGAUUGCUGUAGCCU